CGUAGGGUACGAGCGUUAAUCGGAAUUACUGGGCGUAAAGCGUGCGCAGGCGGUUUUGUAAGACAGGCGUGAAAUCCCCGGGCUCAACCUGGGAACUGCGCUUGUGACUGCAAGGCUAGAGUACGGCAGAGGGGGGUGGAAUUCCACGUGUAGCAGUGAAAUGCGUAGAGAUGUGGAGGAACACCAAUGGCGAAGGCAGCCCCCUGGGUCGAUACUGACGCUCAUGCACGAAAGCGUGGGUAGCAAACAGGAUUAGAUACCCUGGUAGUCCACGCCCUAAACGAUGUCAACUAGGUGUUGGGUGGGUAAAACCAUUUAGUACCGGAGCUAACGCGUGAAGUUGACCGCCUGGGGAGUACGGCCGCAAGGUUA
rnacentral:rRNA from 1 species